ACCUGGGUAAAUUAAACUGAUGCUUCCUGCCUAGGUAGACUUUGACGUGAUUCGGUACAUCUGCUUCUGAUGAAGGGCAUGCCUCACUCAGUAAAGCAGGAAAUAAAAAGGCAGCACUACCUUGCCGAGGAGAAACACCAGUGCAAGCUGCUCUGUGUUCUUGGCGCCAGACCCUGUUCUCCAUGUGUACACAAGUCUGAGUCCUGUGUCCAAACAGAAGACAGAAAUGUGAUCAGGGCCGGGUACAGGAGGGGAUUUGACAGGUCUUCUGCAUCCCAAGUCUCCAAGAUGCAAAGGUAAAGUCGGGCUCUUUUCUUAAAGGUUAAAUUUCACAUUCUAAUUGCCUCACGUGGAGGCUGCUCUGAGCCGGGGCUUCCACAGUCGGCUUGGCAGCACUCCCAGCUCGCUGAAGCUUAGGUCUCCCGCUGAGUGCCUCCCUGCUUGCUCCAGCUCCAUGAAAACUGAGGCCACAAUAACAACAAAUACCAACGGGCUGGGCAAUAAGUGAGUCCGCAGUGCUAGGGGAAUCCCAUUUUAGCCCUUCAUGCUUUUACCGAGUGGAUGCUUGUUCCAGCUACUGUCACUCUAAGACUUGGUGGCUUAAAACAACAAUUAUUAUUGUCUCUUGGGUUCUGGUAGUUGACUGAACUCAUCUGGAUGGUUCUCGCCUGGGGUCUCUCAAGCCAUCGCAGCCAGAUAGUGGCUGGGGCUGGAGUCUUCCAGAGGCUCAACUGGGCUGGAUCGCCAAGAUGGUGCAGGCACGAGGCUGGUGGUUGAUGGGAGCUCAGCUGGGACUGUCCGCCCGAAUGCCUACAUGUGGCCUCUCCAUGUGGCUUGGGCUUCUCUCAGCGUGGCGAUUGAGUUCCAAGAGUGUCCUAAGAGGGAGCGCAAGAAGCUGAACCUUCCAAGAACAAGCAUCCAAGAAGUAGUAUUCCAAAGGAAUUAGGCAGAAGCUGGGCGGCCUUUGAUAACCGAGCCUAGAAGUUACAUAGUAGCACUUUCUCCGUAAUUGAUUGGUUAAAACAGUCACAGAGCCCACGCAGACUCAAGAGGAGAGGACCUGGACUCCAAGUCUCAAGGGAAGGAUGUCAAAGAAUUUGGGGGACAUAUUUUAAACGUGCUACAAUGUUAAAAAACAACAACUCUGCUCCUUUUCUGUGGCUUAAAGGUCCUGAUUGUACUGAAGUCUAAAACACCAGUCUUUCUCUGCUACGAAUGCCAGCAUCUGGAGGGGAAGCUGGAGGAUUUGGAGGGAGGAACAAAUGGCACAUUUUACUGCUUCUCUUUCAGUUGUCCUUUUAGGGCAUAGAUAACAAACCGGAAAUGCCCAAGAUGAGUGUAGCCUGAAAUGAGUUUAAAAAAUUCAUCCAAUAUUUUAAAGGUUGGAGAUUUCACAUAAGACUCUGAAUUUCCAGCAUCUCUUUAAAAAGUAGAUCUGAGCUGAAUGGCAGCUGCCCUCUUUAGACGGGGCUGAUGUGCACCAGUUAGCCACAGUCCCCACCCAUUCCUGUUGCCCCCAAUACUAAGAUUGGAUAUCAAUACCCAUUUAUCUAUAUGGCUACACUGUUUGGGUUGUCUUUUUUUUUUUUUUUGCUUUUAUUUUUGUUUUAGUUAGAAAAACAUUUAUCUUGGUACCAUAUCUUUAUCAAAAGUGGGAGAAUACAACACUAGACCAAGAGGGCCGCAUAUCCAACACAAAUGGGAAAAGACAUUUUUAAUGGGCAUAGAAAGCUUCCUAUGUGUCUUUAAUACACUCCAAAGAGGAUCUGUGUUGAUUGUUCUCGUACCCUUCCCUCUCUCUCCUCUUCCCUCUCUUCCCUCCAUCUUCCCCAUUUCCCCCUCUCCUCUCCCUCCCUCCUUCUCUCUCUCUUGCUUUCAAUAGUUAGCGGGAGAAUGGGGAAAGGCGAUCAAUUCUUGUUAAUAACGCUGAAUUGAUUUCAUUUUUAGUCUUAUGCUAUUACUUGAGUUAAAACAGUUUUUUUCUCUCCUGCUGUUUGUCUUUUACACGACAACCAACAAAAUAAACAUUUGGGACCUCAAAACA
rnacentral:lncRNA from 1 species